rnacentral:lncRNA from 1 species
CCCCAACUUCCAACAUUUCACAGCUCUCUGUUUUUCUGUUAGGAGGAACAAUGUUCGAGAAUUUCCAAUGAUUGAUUGUUGGGCUGCCACAAUUCAGAUUGUUUUGUCUUUUUCGUUGCAGGUACAUCUCUGGUAGAUUCUGGAUACCCUUUUCGUAAUUUUCUUUCAAUAUAUUUGGAGAGCUUUGCAGGGGGUAGCCGACAAAGUGACAUCUUGAUGAUGGUAUAUUGGCCAACAAGAGCAACUGCGUUGAAAUCGGCCAUGGAAGAUCUCCUUAGGGACAAAAAAUGCAGGCAUUGGUUGAUCAUCACCAAAUCUGCGGAGAUUGUGAAGUAGGAAGAAAGACAGUAGGUAAGUGUUUGGUUUGGUUUGUAGUGUUGGUGUGAAAAACUGACUGUAAAGCAAAGAAAUUAUGAAAAGGAAAGAUAGAAAGUGAAAGGUGGAGAGAGUCUGUGUCUGUCUGUGGUGGUUCAUUUCUCUCUUUGCCAAUAUUUGGACUUUGCUUGCAGUGAGCUGCAAAGAAUAUUGAUUCUUCACUUGUGUUCAUCUUCUCACCUCAAUUUCUCAUGACUGAUGAUUAAGAUGUUACCCUCUUAAAUUAAAAAUUAUCAGUAUAUAGAGUACUAUAGUAUAACUUAACUGAUAUGAUCUUGUCACAUCAUACACACACUAUAUGUUAGACAACAUGAUUAGCACUCCACACUGAUAGAAUCCAAAUAUCAACCAUUCCAAAAGGGUGACUUUGAAUUGAAUUUUCUUCGGUCACUUUGUGUUAGGGAAGACAUGGUAGGUAUUCUAACCAAACCUCUGCACUAAAUUGAAGACCAAAUGGGGUCAGAUUUUCAUUUAUUCAAUUUGGUUGUGUGGGUCUGCUCUCUGCUGCUACUGGUUUUGCCUCUUUCUACUCCAUGUGGGUAAUGUUUUGAUCAAUUAAACAUCUAAAUUAAUCAACUCUAUGUUAACU